UGGCGGGGGGACUGGCUUUCAUUGGCUGUAGCUACCACAUCAAAAAUAAGUAACACAUGAGAACUGCAACCACAUGAAGGAAGACAGCACCAACCUCAGUGAGCCUCAAUACCGAAGAAGCUUCUUGUUAGAAAUGAAGCCUCCCAAAUGAAAAACAAGCACCGUCUUUCUUGAAGGUCUAAAUCACUUCAAAAGAGACUCACAAGCCCGGCUUAGAUGAGUACCCCACCCCACUUCCUUGCCGGCUUCUUCCACCACACUUUGCAGGAACUAGACCCCACUGAGCAGCAGGUCAGGGGCGGGAGGGAGUGGGGGAGAGGGAGGACCCAGCUGCUCUCUGCACGUUACUGUGAUUUGCAUAUUACAGGACCUGGACUCAGAUGGUGAGUAGGGGGGUGUUGCCAUGCUCCGUAUCUGUGUGGCCAGCCAGCUGGACCACUGGGCUCAGCCACACUCAGCUUCGGGAGGAUGCAGAUCUCCUAGAAUUCAUUCAACUACAUGCAUGUUUUCAACAACCGGGCCAGUCCUCCUCCACACGAGGAUGAUGUCAGCAAACCCAGGAAGCUUUCAGAGCCAAGAAAGCCUCAGACCCAGGAGGAAGCAGUUAUGGAUCUCCGUGGCUAAAGUGUUCUGUGUCCGCAGGAUGUGAGCGGGGAAAGGGUUCCUGCCUAAGAAUGCACAGAGCGGGUGAAAUCAGGAGUGACUGCCGCUGGCCACAGCCGGCCGGGAUAUCAACUUCUUGAAAGCAAAAUCGGCUACAAAAGAAACAAAACAAAACAUGGCGACCCAUUUUCUGAGGUACUUGAGGGGCACAAGUUAAACAGAACCAGUCGUCAUUGCCCCCCCUGGCACAAAACCAAAUAAAAAGAAAGCAAAACCGUACUUCCUUGGAGUGCACCCCUGGCCGGAACCCCCCACCCAAAUCUGUUCUGUCCGGUGCUUGUGCCCAAGCGCCAGCACCCUCCUUUUUCAAUAGUCACCCACAGACUCCCAAACCCAGCCCUAGAGCAAUCAAACCCUCAAAGCCAUCCUAGACAUCUCCCAAUGUCCUCCCUCUACAAUGUCCCUCCUUCCUUCUCCAUCACCAAAGAUCACUACCGAAGUAUCUACAACCGCUCGGAUGCAGACAAACCAACCUGAAAGUGCAUACCCACGCUCCUUCCCUUAUCGGUGAUGUUCUACCAUAAUCCCAUUAAAUUUACAAAUAGAAAAGUUGUUUCAAUAAAUGUAAAUAUUUAAGCUUUCAUACAUA